AACUAGGGGUGGACAUCGGUUGGGUUGGAUCGGUUUUCGGGCCCAAAUUCCCAAUCCGACCUAACCAUCGGUUGGAAAAAACAUAACCAAAACCGACCGGUUUGCAAUUCGGUUAUUUUCGGUUUCGGUUUUGUUCGGUUCGGUUUCAUAAUGCGGUUUAUUCGGUUUUAAAAAUAAUUGAGCUCAUUCCAAAAUAAACCCAACACAAGUGGAUUUUAUCUAGGAUUUAAAUAGCACAAUUUUAUACUAGUCUUUAAACUUUUAGUUUACUUAUGAACAAAAAAAUAAAACAAUAUAUCUUAAAACUUAUGAAAUUGCUGCAUUUUUCGGAAAUGGAUUGAACAAUCAUUGUUAACAUUUGUAUUCUAAAUUUCUACUCAUAUUAUAUCUAUCUUGCUGACAUGGAUACAGGGCCGUUCAAUGUAACAAAUGUCUUUGAGUUCCAUAAUGGACGGUGGUAUAUGGUUCAUCAUCACAGUUCUGUGAUGAAUGGGGAUGUAGAGCAACAAAUUAUGCAUGGAUAGUAAUAGUAAGAGAGAUGAUAUGUUAUUAUGUCUGAUACUGGUCUCAGAAAAGGAAAUUGCAAUGGGGCCAAAAAAGUGUGAAAAAUAGAUUAAGUGGAUUAAAGUAAAUACAAAAGAUCGAUGGAAAAGAUUACAUGUGAAUCAACGUCCAAUACAUCGGUGAGACUUGUGAAAAACCAAGGCUGUGCAGUUGCAGGAGUUACUAAUUCAAAAGUAUAGUCCAAUUUUGGCGUGCAUUUUAGUUCUCUAGCAGUGUGUGCAUUUUUCAAUAUUGUAAGAGACAAGUCCAUUCCGGCAAUGCAAUAUCCAAUCAACCUUCAAUGCAAUAUCCAAUCAACCUUACCUAUAGAUGAUCAUCAAUCAACAAUCGUAUAUAUAAGAGCUAGUGCAUAACAAUUUCUAUAACAAAAGAUAAAAUCAAAUCAAAUUCUUUUCAUAAGCUAUUACCAAGUUCAAGUGAUGAACACGCGUUAACACCUUAAGCUCGGCAAAAAAUUCUUUUGAUGCUUUCA